AACGAACGCUGGCGGCAUGCCUAACACAUGCAAGUCGAACGAGACCUUCGGGUCUAUUGGCGCACGGGUUCGUAACGCGUGGGAACCUUCCUUUAGGUUCGGAAUAACUCAGAGACAUUUGAGCUAAUACCGGAUGAUGUCUUCUGACCAAAGAUUUAUCGCCUUUAGAUGUGCCCGCGUUGGAUUCGCUAGUUGUGAGGGUAAAGGCCUACCAAGGCGACGAUCCAUAGCUGGUCUGAGAGGAUGAUCAGCCACACUGGGACUGAGACACGGCCCAGACUCCUACGGGAGGCAGCAGUGGGGAAUAUUGGACAAUGGGCGAAAGCAUGAUCCAGCAAUGACGCGUGAGUGAUGAAGGCAUUAGGGUUGUAAAGCUCUUUUAACCGAGAUGAUAAUGACAGUAUCGGGAGAAUAAGCUCCGGCUAACUCCGUG
rnacentral:rRNA from 1 species